UACGCAGGCGGAAAAUUAAGUCAGUGGUGAAAUCCUGCAGCUUAACUGUAGAACUGUCAUUGAUACUGGUUUUCUUGAAUAUAGUUGAGGUAGGCGGAAUGUGUAAUGUAGCGGUGAAAUGCUUAGAUAUUACACAGAACACCGAUUGCGAAGUCAGCUUACUAAGCUAUGAUUGACGCUGAGGUACGAAAGCGUGGGGAGCGAACAGGAUUAGAUACCCUGGUAGUCC
rnacentral:rRNA from 1 species